CCUCUCCUCUCCUCACUCAACCCUACCCUCUCCUCUCUCAACCGCCGCAACGAUGACGACGCCUCGCGCCUCCAUUUUCAGCCCCUCCGCGUCUGUAAUUCCAGACCACGAUUCAGUCGAGAAUGAGAAGGAUUUUGCUUCACCGUUAAAGAAAUUCAAAGUUGACAAGGAUUUAGUAGGAGAAGAGCACACCACUUAUUCCGAAGCUGCUGC